UUCUAUUUUCUAAUAAAAGAAUACCUUUCUUUUCGACAGUUCCAGGCUUGCAGACUGCAGCAGAGAUUCAGCCCAAAAUCAGUCUGAGAGAGACAGCCAUCCGUGUUCUAUAUCAAAGAGAGGUCGACCAGGUCAAAAUCUUGGUAGCAAAUAUCCCCUUGACCAUAUGAGAGAUGAAAACAACGAAUAGGGUUCUACCAAGCUCUGUUGGAAUUGAAAACCACCACAAGAAAAUGAAGAACAGAGAUAGAAUCAUUGGAGUUGGGUUUAUUCGCUGAAAGGGAAGAGAAUGACCACAGGCGAGAGUUCUAGGGCUUUAUUUUGAAGAGAGAAUCGGUAAGAUGAAGAGAUAAGAUAAUGGUUCUUGUCCUCCAUUAGUUUUAUGUUGUCCACUAUUACUGAUGUGACAUGGCUGGCUCACUCAUUUGGACCAAUAAGAACAUUCUAAAGGACACAUUCAUCUUUCAUUGAAGUAGCAAAAAGAACUCAAUUACCACCAAUUCAAAAAGAUUAGUAGUGAGAAAUCUAUGAAAGAAAAGCCUGAAUGCCAUAUGUUACAAAUACUACAGUUAUGUGACAUGUGUACUGUUCAUGCAGUUUCCAGUAACCGGAAAAACUUCACAACUACAAAUUAGUUGUGUAUUAUCUUGUUAUGUAUAUUUCUCUAAAGUUUUGACAAGUGUACAUAAUUAAACUGUAAUAUAAAUGAGUGUUCUUCUCUCAAUCAUAUCAAACGAGAGAACUUAAUUCUUC